rnacentral:rRNA from 1 species
UACAGAGGUCCCGAGCGUUGUUCGGAUUUAUUGGGCGUAAAGGGUGCGUAGGCGGCGGAGUAAGUUGGGUGUGAAAUCCCGGGGCUCAACCUCGGAAUGGCAUUCAAUACUGCUUCGCUAGAGUACUGGAGAGGAGGCUGGAAUUUACGGUGUAGCAGUGAAAUGCGUAGAUAUCGUAAGGAAGGCCGGUGGCGAAAGCGGAGCCUCGUAGGACAUCGUUCCUGACACUGAGGCACGAAGGCCCAGGGGAGCAAACGGG